CUACGGGUUGCUGCAGUGGGGAAUCUUGGGCAAUGGGCGAAAGCCUGACCCAGCAACGCCGCGUGGGUGAUGAAGGCCUUCGGGUCGUAAAGCCCUGUCGGAAGGAAAGAAUACUUCCGGGGUGAACAAUCCCGGAAGAUGACGGUACCUUCAAAGGAAGCACCGGCUAACUCCGUGCCAGCAGCCGCGGUAAGACGGAGGGUGCUAGCGUUGUUCGGAAUCAUUGGGCGUAAAGGGCGUGUAGGCGGUUUGUUAAGUCAUACGUGAAAGCCCUCGGCUUAACUGAGGAAGGGCGUAUGAAACUGGCGAGCUAGAGUGCGGAAGAGGGGGGUGGAAUUCCAGGUGUAGCGGUGAAAUGCGUAGAUAUCUGGAGGAACACCGGUGGCGAAGGCGACCCCCUGGUCCGACACUGACGCUGAGACGCGAAAGCGUGGGUAGCAAACAGGAUUAGAUACCCCUGUAGUC
rnacentral:rRNA from 1 species